CGCCUAUUAGCUAGCCCCACAAACCAAAUCCAACAAACAAACAUAAACUAACCCCAAAAACACUUAACCUACCCAAACAAAACAUUUUCCCUCCCUAGUAUGGGCGACAGAAAAG
rnacentral:rRNA from 1 species